rnacentral:lncRNA from 10 species
GAAGGACUGAUGGAGCCAUUGCCACUGUAGCCUCAGAGAGGGCAGCUUCACUAGAACAAUGGCAGCAGAAUGCAGAUGGAGCCAGCGGGGAGAGGAGUGGACAUGAGAGAAAGAUCCCAUAGCCCUCUUGGUCUUGGUUGGAACAGGAGGAAAAUGAAAACUGGACAUCCAUCUUAGGACUUAAUCCUACGGAGACCACAAGCUGGAAGAGGCACUCAAUACUAGCAUGGCUUCUGUGGCAUUUUGAUGAGUAGUAUGGGCUCCACACUGAAAUAUUAAUAUCUUAUUGUUUUGAUGAUGAUGAUGAUGUUCAUUGGCCCAGGGCAAAAGGUAAAGGUUGUGUUAUAAAGCUGAUCUAUUCAAUAUCUGUGGAUGUUAACUCCACCCCAUCCCCUUAUUGAACAAUUACGAUGCCUAUAAAUAUUGUAUUGAGAAAGAAAAAAAAAACUAAGGCAGAAGAUAUCAUAUUACCUGUCCAUAUGUGACAUUUUGGCUGGCCAAGCCAUAAUGGCCAAAGAGGAGCAACUGUCAAAAUUUAAGUGGGGUUAGAAAAGAAGAGAGGAACUUGCACGUUUGCACCUACAAGGACCCUCUUUUCUCCUCUGGUAGCCAUGGAAACCACUCCUUGGACCUCCUUUCAAGAGACUCUGCAUGGGGAGCACAGUUGACUGACAGCUCCAAUUGCUGCUCCUUCGAGUCCACCAUGGCACUCAUGCCCACGCAAUGUUUCCUCCAGGGUUCUCCAGGUAGAGAUGGAGCAGGUGGGGUUGCCAGAGGCAGGCCAUCAGGCCAUCUUGACUGAUGUGGGACUUCUAAUGCUUCCAGGUCUGAAGGCUCACCUGCCACUUCCUGCUCCCUCCUCCUUUACCCUUCACAGGAGUUUCCUCCCCAUAAAUUUCUUGUGUAUCUAGUCCUGUCUUGGCAUCAGCUUCUUGGAGGACUUGAACUGAUAUGCACUCAACAGCCAGUAAAUCCUGCUAAUUCACAAAAUCCUUGAUUAUCAGUACUAAAGAAAGACACUGGGGGUGAAGAUGUCAUCUUCUAAAAGACUUACUGGGGAUAAUCUACCACCAAAUGUAGGUGGCAAAUGCCAUCUUUGAUCACAUAAUGGAAUCAAUGAAGGAGGUUAUUGAUCUGGUUCAGAGGUGACUUUAGAAUGUCCCAAACCCUUUAAAUAUGUGUGUAUUGAGUAUGUGUGCAAUUCUCCUUGAAGAACAUUUAUACCUUUCAUCUCAUUAAUCUACAAAAUUAUCAGCAGUGGCAGCUAAUUGUCAGUUAACUAGGUAGUUGACAAGUCACAUUAACAUGAAAUCUGUGUUUCAUGUAAAUAAAAAAAAUAAAAUGACUUAUU